GCCUGGGUAGCUCAGUCAGUUAAGCAUCUGACUUCGGCUCAGGUCAUGAUCUAGCAGUCCGUGAGUUCGAGCCCCGCGUCAGGCU
rnacentral:tRNA from 1 species